rnacentral:rRNA from 1 species
CAGUCGCCACGGGAAUACGAAGGGUGCAAGCGUUACUCGGAAUUACUGGGCGUAAAGCGUGCGUAGGUGGUGGUUUAAGUCCGUUGUGAAAGCCCUGGGCUCAACCUGGGAAUUGCAGUGGAUACUGGAUCACUAGAGUGUGGUAGAGGAUAGUGGAAUUUCCGGUGUAGCAGUGAAAUGCGUAGAGAUCGGAAGGAACAUCUGUGGCGAAGGCGACUAUCUGGGCCAACACUGACACUGAGGCACGAGAGCGUGGGGAGCAAACAGGAUUAGAUACCCCGGUAGUCCCUGUUUCUUAUAC